UUCAGUUCAGAAAAGGUACAGAGACACACACAUCAGGGACCUUCAGGAGCUUGGAGGAACGCUGUAACCAGAUCCUGAGGAACAUGGAGGCCUCCCUGACAGCCCGGGAUCGUGUGGGCAUUCAAGAUUUCGUUCUCUUGGACGCCUACACGAGUGAGAGUGCCUUCCUGGACAACCUGAGGAAACGCUUCCAUGAGAAUCUCAUUUACACCUACAUUGGAACUCUCUUGGUGUCGGUCAACCCAUAUAAAGAGUUAGAUAUCUACAGCAAGAAGCAAAUGGAUACCUACAUGGGUGUGAAUUUCUUUGAGCUGCCACCUCAUAUUUAUGCGCUGGCAGACAACGUCUUCCGCAGCAUGCAGUCUGAGUUCAACAACCACUUCAUCCUGAUCUCAGGGGAGAGCGGAGCCGGCAAGACAGAGGCCUCCAAAAAAAUCCUGCAAUUCUACGCUGUCAGCUGUCCAAGUACUAAACUCCUGAACAACGUCCGGGACAGACUGCUUCUCUCCAACCCAGUGCUUGAGGCUUUCGGAAAUGCCAAAACCCUGAAGAAUGACAACUCUAGCCGCUUUGGGAAAUACAUGGACAUCCAGUUCGACCACCAGGGUGGUGCUGUUGGGGGUCACAUCCUCAGUUACCUGUUGGAGAAGUCCCGUGUGGUCCACCAGAACCACGGAGAAAGAAACUUCCAUAUCUUCUAUCAGCUGGUGGAGGGAGGAGAGGAAGAUCUGCUCCGCUGGCUCGGCCUGCAGAGAAACUGCCAGCACUACAGGUACCUGGUGCAGGGUGAUUGUGCCAAAGUGAGCUCUAUCAAUGAUAAAAGUGACUGGAAGACAGUGCAGAAAGCCCUCUCUGUCAUAGAGUUCGGUGAGAGUGAUAUUGAGCACCUGUUUGGAAUAAUCGCUAGUGUUCUCCAUCUGGGGAAUAUCAAGUUUGAAGCAGAUGUUAGAGGAUACGCCUCUCUCAACAACAACCAGGAGAUGCACUGGGUGUCAAAGUUGCUGGGGAUUCCUAUUCAGGUAUUACAACAGGGCCUAACCCACAGGAAGAUUGAAGCCAAAACAGAGGAGGUGUUCAGUCCUUUCUCUGUGGACCAUGCAGUAUAUGCCAGGGAUGCCCUCGCCAAAGCUAUCUAUGGCCGCACUUUCAACUGGCUGGUCAACAAGAUCAAUGAAUCUUUAGUUAACAAGGAUUCCUCCAGGAAAACAGUAAUUGGUCUGUUGGACAUCUAUGGUUUCGAGGUUUUCAACGUGAACAGCUUUGAGCAGUUUUGCAUCAACUACUGCAACGAGAAGUUGCAGCAGCUUUUCAUCCAGCUGACCCUCAAGUCAGAGCAGGAGGAGUACGAGAUGGAGGGGAUUGAAUGGGAACCAGUGCCAUUUUUCAACAACAAGAUCAUCUGUGAUCUUGUAGAGGAGAAACAUAGAGGAAUCAUCUCUUUAUUGGACGAGGAAUGUUUACGUCCUGGAGAGGCCACAGAUCUCACCUUCCUGGAGAAGAUGGAGGAAAAGAUCAGUGGUCAUCCUCAUUUCGUCACACAUAAACUUGCAGACCAAAAGACGAGGAAAACACUGGAAAGGGGAGACUUCCGCCUCUUGCACUAUGCUGGCGAGGUUACAUACUGUGUUGUUGGAUUCUUGGACAAAAACAAUGAUCUCUUGUAUAGAAAUGGGAAAGAGGUCAUGCGACAGUCCAAGAAUGCUAUAAUCAAACACUGUUUUCCUUCUACUGAACCGGACAGCAAGAGGAGACCUGAAACUGUGGUGACUCAGUUUAAGAGCAGCCUGGUGAGCUUGACUGAGAUCCUAAUGUCCAAAGAGCCCUGGUAUGUCCGCUGCAUUAAACCCAAUGAAGCCAAGCAGCCAGGACGCUUUGAUGAUGUGUUGGUGAGACAUCAGAUGAAGUACCUGGGGCUGAUGGAGCACCUGAGGGUCAGGCGUGCUGGGUUUGCUUACCGACGCAAAUAUGAGCUCUUUCUCCAGAGGUACAAGCCUCUGUGUCCUGAAACCUGGCCCAACUGGAAAGGUACAGCAGCAGAAGGUGUGCAGUGCCUGAUCAAGCACCUGGGCUACAAACCUAAUGAGUACAAGAUGGGCAGGACAAAGAUUUUCAUCCGGCACCCUAGAACUCUGUUUGCAACAGAAGAUGCCUUUCAGGUCUGCAAACACAAGCUAGCAACAAGCAUUCAGGCCAAGUACAAAGGCUACAGAGCGAAAGGAGACUACCUUAAACAGAGAGAGGCUGCCACUAAGAUUGAGACCUGCUGGAGAGGUCUGCUGGCCAGAAAGGAGCGUGAAAAGAGGGCAUGGGCUGUCAAGGUAAUCCAAAAGUUCAUUAAAGGUUUCAUCACUCGAAAUCAGCCAGUCUGCGUUGACAACAGUGAGUACCUGGCGUACGUAAGGCAGAACUACCUCACACGGCUGAGGGACAACCUUCCCAAAACAGUCGUGGAAAAAGACUCUUGGCUCACCCCUCCGCCUAUAAUGCAGGAAGUUUCCCAGCUGUUGAAGAAGCUCUACAUUCGCCACAUGGUACGGAAGUACGUUCGGGGAAUCACUCCACAGAGGAAAGCACAGCUUCUGUUAAAAGCACAGACGAGCUCCAUGUUCAAAGGAAAAAAAGAAAACUACCCCUUCAGUGUGUGCAGACCAUUCAUGGACACCAGGAUAGGUGCAGGAGACAUAAGCAUCAAAGUGCUUCAGAUGAUCCGGCAUGAGCACAUCAAGUACAGUGUGCCAGUGGUGAAGUAUGACAGAAACGGGUUCAGGCCUCGUCUCCGGCAGCUCAUCUUUACCCAGGAAGCCGCCUACCUGGUCGAGGAUGCCAAGAUCAAGCAGCGGAUAGAUUACAUCUCUCUGAAAGGUGUGUCGGUCAGCAACCUGAGUGACAACUUCCUGAUCCUUCAUGUUACAUGUGAUGACAUCAAGCAAAAGGGUGAUCUGGUCCUUCAGUGUGACUACCUGUUUGAGGCCCUGACUAAGUUGAGUCUUAUUGGCAACCAGCAGAACUCCAUUAAAGUGGUCCAGGGCAGGUACAUAAUCUGGACUUGUGCGAUUUGACAUCCAGCCCGGCAGAGAGGGCUUCGUGGACUUCAAGAGUGGUCAGGAGUCCAUGGUCUACAGGGCAAAAAAUGGCCAUUUGAUGGUGGAAUCUACAAGAACCAAGUCCAGAUGAUGCUACCAGUGAUUUGGGAUGAUGUUGCUGCAAAAUAUGAGUAACAGCAGUGUUUGUUCUGUGAUCCUGCUUCAUGGUUUUUGCCAAUUGUGUUUCAUGUCAGCUGGUUUUUCAGUUUUGCAUAUUUAUGACAAUGUUAUUCAAUCAUGUGUAACAAAUAUUACACUGCCAAUUACUUAGUUGUAAAGCGCAGACAACAAGCUAAUAGUAGAGGCUAGCCAGAAUAUCAUUAUGUCUGUUGUUCCUAAUGUGUCUGAAGUUGAAAUCAUCUCUAAGUGAACAAACAGAUCCCAGCUCACAUUCAUUAAAAUCAGCCAUCCUUAAUGAAUAGAAGCACUUGUAAUAUUUGUUGUAUUAAAUGUAUCUGAAAUGCUGUCUAGAUGAUAACAGUAGAGAACAAUAUGAGGAAUGUGUGCAGUCAUGAAUGUUUACAAUGCCUCAUCCAUGUUGUACUUUAACAUUAAAACAUGUUUUACCCCAGUGGA